GCCGGAGCGGCGGGACGGUCUUACGCGGCAGACUCAAAAUCUGCUGGGCGAAAGCCCAUGAGGGUUCGAAUCCCUCCUCCGGCA
rnacentral:tRNA from 1 species